AGAACGAACGCUGGCGGCAUGCCUAAUACAUGCAAGUCGAACGAACACUUCGGUGUUAGUGGCGCACGGGUGCGUAACGCGUGGGAAUCUGCCCUUGGGUUCGGAAUAACAGUUGGAAACGACUGCUAAUACCGGAUGAUGACGAAAGUCCAAAGAUUUAUCGCCCAGGGAUGAGCCCGCGUAGGAUUAGCUAGUUGGUGAGGUAAAGGCUCACCAAGGCGACGAUCCUUAGCUGGUCUGAGAGGAUGAUCAGCCACACUGGGACUGAGACACGGCCCAGACUCCUACGGGAGGCAGCAGUAGGGAAUAUGGACAAUGGGCGCAAGCCUGAUCCAGCAAUGCCGCGUGAGUGAUGAAGGCCUUAGGGUGUAAAGCUCUUUACCGAGAUGAUAAUGACAGUGUCGGAGAAUAAGCCCCGAUAACUCCG
rnacentral:rRNA from 1 species